rnacentral:rRNA from 1 species
AUUGAACGCUGGCGGCAGGCCUAACACAAGCAAGUCGAGCUGAGCGGCGGACGGGUGAGUAAUGCCUACGAAUCUGCCUGGUAGUGGGGGAUAACGUCCGGACACGGGCGCUAAUACCGCAUACUAUCAGAUGAGCCUAGGUCGGAUUAGCUAGUUGGUGGGGUAAAGGCCUACCAAGGCGACGGUCCGUAACUGGUCUGAGAGGAUGAUCAGUCACCUAGGAACUGAGCCACGGCCCAGACUCCUACGUGAGGCAGCAGUGGUGAAUAUUGGACAUUGGGCAAAAGCCUGAUCCAGCCAUGCCGCGUGUGUGAAGAAGGUCUUCGGAUUGUAAAGCACUUUAAGUUGGGAGGCGUUACCAACAGAAUGAGCACCGGCUAACUUCGUGCCAGCCGCCGCGGUAAUAC